rnacentral:rRNA from 1 species
CCUACGGUCUCAGCAGUGGGGAAUAUUGGACAAUGGGCGAAAGCCUGAUCCAGCCAUGCCGCGUGUGUGAAGAAGGCCUUCGGGUUGUAAAGCACUUUCAGUGGGGAAGAAAGCCUUGGGGCUAAUACCCUCGAGGAAGGACAUCACCCACAGAAGAAGCACCGGCUAACUCCGUGCCAGCAGCCGCGGUAAUACGGAGGGUGCGAGCGUUAAUCGGAAUUACUGGGCGUAAAGCGCGCGUAGGCGGUCUGAUAAGCCGGUUGUGAAAGCCCCGGGCUCAACCUGGGAACGGCAUCCGGAACUGUCAGGCUAGAGUGCAGGAGAGGAAGGUAGAAUUCCCGGUGUAGCGGUGAAAUGCGUAGAGAUCGGGAGGAAUACCAGUGGCGAAGGCGGCCUUCUGGACUGACACUGACGCUGAGGUGCGAAAGCGUGGGUAGCAAACAGGAUUAGAUACCCCAGUAGUC